rnacentral:rRNA from 1 species
CCUACGGGUGGCAGCAGUGAGGAAUAUUGGUCAAUGGACGAGAGUCUGAACCAGCCAAGUAGCGUGAAGGAUGACUGCCCUAUGGGUUGUAAACUUCUUUUAUAUGGGAAUAAAACGUUCCACGUGUGGGAUUUUGUAUGUACCAUAUGAAUAAGGAUCGGCUAACUCCGUGCCAGCAGCCGCGGUAAUACGGAGGAUCCGAGCGUUAGCCGGAGUUAUUGGGUUUAAAGGGAGCGUAGGUGGUUUGUUAAGUCAGUUGUGAAAGUUUGCGGCUCAACCGUAAAAUUGCAGUUGAAACUGGAAGUCUAGAGUACAUGAGAGGUGGGCGGAAUUCGUGGUGUAGCGGUGAAAUGCUGAGAUAUCACGAAGAACUCCGAUUGCGAAGGCAGUUCACUGGACUGCAACUGACACUGAGGCUCGAAAGUGUGGGUAUCAAACAGGAUUAGAUACCCGUGUAGUC